AACGCGAAGAACCUUACCCAGACUUGACAUGCAGAGGACGAUAGUAGAAUAUUAUUUCCCUUCGGGCCUUUGCACAGGUGCUGCAUGGCUGUCGUCAGCUCGUGCCGUGAGGUGUUUGGUUAAGUCCAGCAACGAGCGCAACCCUUAUCAUUAGUUGCCAGCAUUUUAGGUGGGAACUCUAGUGAGACUGCCUGGGUUAACCAGGAGGAAGGUGAGGAUGACGUCAAGUCCGCAUGGCCCUUAUGUCUGGGGCUACACACGUACUACAAUGGUCGGUACAGAAGGCAGCGAAGCCGCGAGGUGAAGCAAAUCCCCAAAACCGAUCUCAGUUCAGAUUGUAGUCUGCAACUCGACUACAUGAAGACGGAAUUGCUAGUAAUGGCAGGUCAGCACACUGCCGUGAAUACGUUCCCGGGCCUUGUACACACCGAGACGAC
rnacentral:rRNA from 1 species